UUUGUUCCCUUAUUCACAAGCAGAAUCACUGGGCUGUCUGCAGAGCCCAUAUAUGCUACUACGAAGUUUCAGCAUGCAACAGUCCUAAAAACAUAAUGUCCACAGGGAGUGAACACUGCAUUUCGACUGUAUACAGCCUGACUAGGACCACAGACUAGCUCAUCAUCUGCAAAAUAGAUCACUCAUCAUCUGCAAAGAACUUGGAGAACCUGAAGCGACAUACACAGGAAAAUUGCCAGUCCUCUGUUCAGUAUUCAUGUGUUUCCCAAGCAACUACCUACUGACAAGCAAUUACAUCCAAUUUCUUAAUAGCAGAAAGCGGGAGGACUAUUCCUGCAUGAAAAAUCUGAAGACAAUGGAGGGGAAUCAGCCAUACUUACAAGCUUCAUGAUUUUCAUUUAAUUAACCAAGGCUUCUCCCAUGUUUUUGAAUAGACUGCUAUUAAUUUCAAGCCUUUGGGUAAUACAAGAACUGGGAGCAAAGAAGGGGAAACAAAAAAUAAAAAAUAAAAACCACAAGUAAACACAGACCAUGUAUGUGUUUAAAACAAGAUUUUCAGACUUGUUUUGGAAAUAUCAAUGGAGAAUCCACCAUACCCCAGAGCUCCUAAUAACUUCCCCUUAUAUAUUUUAUAUUUGGCGUCCAAUCUGAAUUGUCUUGUUCCAGCUCUUAAUCAAUCACUGUUUCAACAUUUUCUACUGGAAUAAAAAAAA
rnacentral:lncRNA from 1 species